rnacentral:tRNA from 4 species
AGUAAUAUAAGCUAAAAAAGCUAUUGGGCCCAUACCUCAAAAAUACUUAAAGUUAUUACUU